CUCCAGUUUAUAGACGUUUGGACAAGGCAUUAAUAGAAGCUAUAAACUCAGGAUUGUGGUUCUGUACCAUUUCAUAGAAAUUCAAUAAUAAGCAGUGAUAUCUUUGAGACAAAAUCCAUUCUUUUUUGCCUGAUCUCUUUUACAGUUAAAAUAAAUGAUACUUGAUAAGUACUAAUUUGUAAUGUCUGCAUUGUAAUAAUUUUUCAUUGAAAUAGACAAGUCUUGGAAAAUUAAGAUCUGAGCAAGAAUUCUUCUGCUCCCUUAUUAAUCAUGGCCCUCAUUUUGAGAUAACCUUUUCCCCGGAUAAUUAAACAGUUGCAAAUACAGGGACCUGCUGUCUCUUUCCAACUUGACGGUGCGCUUCAGUCGGUUUUAUUUCUUAAUAGUUUUAGCUGUGAGUUUCAGUUGUUUUAUUUCUUAAUAGUUUUAGCUGUGCUCCAUGCCAGGAGUAUAGGAAAAGCUCUAAAAUGUGAAUUCGUGAUAUCCAUUUAGUCUUGUGGUUAUUCCAUUCUUUUAAAUAAUUCUAACCUUUACAUAAUUCUCCAUUAUUUAUUAUCUGUCUUGAAGAUUUCAAAGAUCCUUAUCAGUUAAGUUUGAGCCCAAGCCAGGGAAGAAAGGGAAGAAAUAGUUGAACAUGGGAGACUAAAGAAAGGAGAUGAACAUCUGAUUGUGUGUAUUUAUCUUCAUGUGUCAUUAAAGAUAAACAAAUUCAGUAAUUCAACUAUUAAAAACAAAUACUUAUUGCACUGGUCACUAUUCUAGGCACUGUGACUGGAAAAGUGAACAGAAGAGCCAAAAAUCUGUAACUCCCAUAUGUAACCCUUAUUUUAAUUAGGGGGAGAGAUAAUAAGCAAGAUAAAUAAGUAGAACAGAUGCUGUAUUAGGUGGGGAUAAAUGUUGUGGGGAAGAAUAAAGGAGAAAGAGGAGCUGGGUUGGGAAGAGUGGCUGGGAUCUCACAUAGGGCACCACAGGAACGCCUCACUAAGAGGACCGCAUUCGAGUAAAGACUUGACAUAAUGUUGGUGUGUGUCAUGCAUUUAUCUGAAACAAGAGCGAUACAGGCAGAUGGAGCAACUAACGUGAAGGCCUGGAGGCAGCUUUGUGUCUGGCGUGUUCAGGAAUGGAGAGAAAGGAGGCCAGGGUGGUGGAAGGAGAAUGAUUGAAGGGAAGAAUUGCAUGAGAUGAUACAGAGAUCAGCAGGGGUCCCAACACGAAGACAGUAGUCCACAACUACAGCCACCUGUUUGUGUAAACACUUUGUAAAUCAAGGUUUAUUGGACCAGCCACGCUCAUUGUUUCUUACAUAUUGCCUGUGGCUGCUUUUGCAUGAAGUUGAGUAGCUGUAAUGGAGACUGUAAGGCCUGUGCUUUUACAAAAAAUAAAACAAGCAAAUUGCCAAACUGAUGAACUGUGCCAUCCGGUUGAACUUUCUGUGGUGAUGGAAAUAUGCUCUGUCUCUGCUGUUGAGGAUAGUAGCCACUAGCCUCAUGUGGCUGUUGAGCACCUGCAGUGUGACUGGUAUGACUGAGGAGCUGAAUUUUUCAUUUGUACUUAAUUUUAAGUCCUUUAAAUUUACAAUAGCUACACGUGAUUAGUGACUACCAUAUGGGAUAGCACGGUAGGCCAUUGUAUAGUAUAAACUUUGGAGUUUAUUCUCUGUGAGAAGAUAAAUAAUUGGAGGAGUUUGAGCAGAGCAGUGAUAUGAUCUGACUUAUAUUUUAAUUUGCUGUGGUAGCUGUGUUAUGAAUAAAUUUAAGGGAAGAAGGGCAGAAUCUAGGAGACCUAUUGGGAACCCACUGAAACAGGCCCAGUAAAAAGUGAUGGUGGGUGAGACUAGGUCAGUGGUAGGAAAGGGGUGAAAGGUCUACCUUUUGAAGGUCGACAAAGAGGAUUUACUGUUUGGUUAGAUGGGAGAAAGAAAACAAUCAAAAUAUGACUAAGUGAUUAGAACACUAGAGUUGCCGGUGACUCAGACCGGGGAGACCAGAGCAGUGCAGGUUUGAGGCAGAAGUGUAGGACCUUGGUUCGGGACAUACCAGGUUUGAGAUGCCUGUUUAGAAAUCCCAGCAUAGUUGUUGGGUUGGCGGGUUGUUGAUACGUGAGUCUGGAAUUUAGGGGUGGCCUAGAACAAGGUCAUCAGCAUAUAGAUGCCAAGCCAUGAGAUUAGGUGAGAUCACCCAGAUGUAAAUACAGACAAGAAGACAUUGAAAGACUGCCAAGGAAGGACAUUUAAUAAUAUGGGUUAGGGGUUAGCGCACUGUUUCAGAUGCCCAGAGUUGGGUGCUCAGUUUAAUCUUUCCUUAUCAGUUUGUAUACAUGAUUCCAUAAUUGGAGGGAUAGUGAUUAGGGGUUUCUCAGUUUGUGACCACCCUAUCUUCAUCUAAUUUAAGGAUUAUCCUGUUUGUUUUCUAAGAAAUGGGAUUUUGCUCUUUCCUAAAAUCUUAGUUAAAAAACACACUAUG